GACGAACGCUGGCGGCGUGCUUAACACAUGCAAGUCGAGCGACGCUCUUCCUUCGGGGAGAUGACGGAGCGGCGAACGGGUGAGUAACACGUGGGCAACCUGCCCCUAGCUCUGGGACAACACCGGGAAACCGGUGCUAAUACCGGAUACGACAUCGAGCGGCAUCUCUCGAUGUGGAAAGUUUUUUCGGCUAGGGAUGGGCCCGCGGCCUAUCAGCUUGUUGGUGGGGUAAUGGCCCACCAAGGCGACGACGGGUAGCCGGCCUGAGAGGGCGACCGGCCACACUGGGACUGAGACACGGCCCAGACUCCUACGGGAGGCAGCAGUGGGGAAUAUUGCGCAAUGGGCGAAAGCCUGACGCAGCGACGCCGCGUGAGGGAUGACGGCCUUCGGGUUGUAAACCUCUUUCAGCAGGGACGAAUUCAGACGGUACCUGCAGAAGAAGCGCCGGCCAACUACGUG
rnacentral:rRNA from 1 species